AAGCCCAACUGCGCAGAUGGUACUGCAGUUAUGUGGGAGAGUAUGUCGCCGCCUUCU
rnacentral:rRNA from 1 species